rnacentral:rRNA from 1 species
CUGCGAAUGGCUCAUUAUAUCAGUUAUAGUUUUUUUGAUGAAGAAUACUAAUUGGAUAACCGUAGUAAUUCUAGAGCUAAUACAUGUAUAAAGUCUUGUAGACUGCAUUUAUUAGAAUGAAAACCAUAGGUUUCGGCCUAUUCGUGAGUAAUAAUAACUAAUCAUAUCGUAUGCUUAUGUAACGAUGUGUCUUUCAAGUUUCUGCCCUAUCAGCUUUCGAUGGUAGUGUAUUGGACUACCAUG